CCUACGGGAGGCAGCAGUGGGGAAUAUUGCACAAUGGGCGCAAGCCUGAUGCAGCCAUGCCGCGUGUGUGAAGAAGGCCUUAGGGUUGUAAAGCACUUUCAGCGAGGAGGAAGGGUUCAGUGUUAAUAGCACUGUUCAUUGACGUUACUCGCAGAAGAAGCACCGGCUAACUCCGUGCCAGCAGCCGCGGUAAU
rnacentral:rRNA from 1 species